rnacentral:rRNA from 1 species
UACGUAGGACCCAAGCGUUAUCCGGAAUUACUGGGCGUAAAGAGUUGCGUAGGUGGCAGAGUAAGCAAGAUAUGAAAGCGUGUGGCCCAACCAUACAUGGCAUAUUUUGAACUGCUCAGCUAGAGUAUGGGAGAGGUAGAUGGAAUUUCUAGUGUAGGAGUGAAAUCCGUAGAUAUUAGAAGGAACACCGAUGGCGUAGGCAGUCUACUGGCCCAUUACUGACACUAAGGCACGAAAGCGUGGGGAGCGAACGGG